GACGAACGCUGGCGGCGUGCUUAACACAUGCAAGUCGAACGGAAAGGCCCUGCUUUUGUGGGGUGCUCGAGUGGCGAACGGGUGAGUAACACGUGAGUAACCUGCCCUUGACUUUGGGAUAACUUCAGGAAACUGGGGCUAAUACCGGAUAGGAGCUCCUGCUGCAUGGUGGGGGUUGGAAAGUUUCGGCGGUUGGGGAUGGACUCGCGGCUUAUCAGCUUGUUGGUGGGGUAGUGGCAUACCAAGGCUUUGACGGGUAGCCGGCCUGAGGGGGUGACCGGCCACAUUGGGACUGGGAUACGGCCCAGACUCCUACGGGAGGCAGCAGUGGGGAAUAUUGCACAAUGGGCGGAAGCCUGAUGCAGCAACGCCGCGUGCGGGAUGACGGCCUUCGGGUUGUAAACCGCUUUCGCCUGUGACGAAGCGUGAGUGACGGUAAUGGGUAAAGAAGCACCGGCUAACUACGUG
rnacentral:rRNA from 1 species